AUGAAGAUACCUCUUAAGAAUAAAAUCUUUGCAUGGUAUCUUCGUCGCGGUGUCAUUCUUACUAAAGAUAACUUUAUUAAGAGGUAUUGACAUGGAAGUCCGCAAUGUGUCUUUUGUCACCAUGAUGAGACAAUAAAACAAUUAUUCUUCCAAUGCAAAUCGGCUCGUUCUAUAUGGUCAGUCAUCUAAAUAAUUUCUGGCUUGUAUCCUCCAUGUAGUGUUGCUAAUGUAUUUGGCAACUGGUUACACGGGAUUGAUCACAAGUUUAGAACUUUUCUCGGGAUGGAAGCGCUUGCCGUUAUUUGGUCGCUUCGGCUAUGUAGAAAUGAUAAGGUUUUUAACGAUAAAAGUACUUCCCUAUGCAGGUUAUCUACAUAUGUACUGGGACUCUUCGUUUAUGGCCCUCUCUACAAGCCGUGGAGAAUCGAGACCUGUUUAUGA
rnacentral:rRNA from 1 species